UCGUAACAGGUUUCCGUAGGUGAACCUGCGGAAGGAUC
rnacentral:rRNA from 1 species